rnacentral:tmRNA from 1 species
GGGGAUGACAGGUUUCGACGGAAUUGCACUUUGACACGCCGCAAGCCAAGUUUGGCUAACACUUGUUAAACAGAGCUAAAAUUUUAACUGGCGCGGGUAAAGCCGUAGCCCCAGUUUACGCAGUAGCUUAAGCUGGCAUCUGUGUUGUUCGCUUCCUGACCGAGCAACAACAGGUGUAAACCAGUCAGGAUGCCUCAGGUUGCCCGAUCAGCGCCGGAGUAAGAUUUGAUCUAGUAAGCACUGUUACCCUUGCUUGUUGAGGAUGUGUUUACAAAAAAAUUCAACAAACUAAGCUUGUAGAAGCAGUCAGUGUGUAUUUUCGGAUGAGGGUUCAAAUCCCUCCAUCUCCACUC